rnacentral:misc_RNA from 1 species
GUUUUUCCUCUUCAAAAGGUAGAAGAUCGUCGGUUUCUACGUCAUCAGAUAGCGAGCUACCGGCAAGGUUAUCGGUGUUUAAGAAGCUGAUACCGUGUAGUGUGGAUGGGAAAGUGAAGGAGAGUUUCGCGAUAGUGAAGAAAUCUCAGGACCCGUACUAAGAUUUCAAGAGAUCGAUGAUGGAAAUGAUUUUAGAGAAGGAAAUGUUUGAGAAGAAUGAGCUGGAACAGCUUUUACAAUGUUUUCUGUCGUUGAACGGAAAGCAUUAUCAUGGAGUGAUAGUUGAGGCGUUCUCAGACAUUUGGGAGACUUUGUUUUUAGGUAAUAAUGAUAGAGUAAGGAGGAUGUCAAUUCAUGAUCCCACACCCACCUACUGUAGGUAGUAGUAGAAGAACCUCCUUUGAUUAAUCAUGAUUUAGUUGUUAAUUAAUAAAUUUAACUUUUCUUUUAUGUGUUAAUUGUGAUUUAA